rnacentral:rRNA from 1 species
UUGACCUCAAAUCGGGUGAGACUACCCGCUGAACUUAAGCAUAUCAAUAAGCGGAGGAAAAGAAACUAACAAGGAUUCCCCUAGUAACUGCGAGUGAAGCGGGAAAAGCUCAAAUUUAAAAUCUGGUGGCCUCUGGUCACCCGAGUUGUAAUUUAGAGAAGCGUCUUCCGCGCUGGACCGUGCACAAGUCUCCUGGAAUGGAGCGUCAUAGAGGGUGAGAAUCCCGUCUUUGGCACGGACGCACCAGGGCUUUUGUGAUGCGCUCUCGAAGAGUCGAGUUGUUUGGGAAUGCAGCUCAAAAUGGGUGGUGAACUCCAUCUAAAGCUAAAUAUUGGCGAGAGACCGAUAGCGAACAAGUACCGUGAGGGAAAGAUGAAAAGCACUUUGGAAAGAGAGUGAAACAGUACGUGAAAUUGUUGAAAGGGAAACGCUUGAAGUCAGUCGCGUCGACCGAGACUCAGCCUUGCCUCGGCUCGGUGUACUUCUCGGCCGACGGGUCAGCAUCAAUUUUGCCCCUCGGAUAAUGGCGAGAGAAAGGUGGCACCCUCUCGGGUGUGUUAUAGUCUCCCGUCGGAUGCGAGGGUCGGGAUUGAGGAACUCGGCA